UACUGUGCUUGUCACCCGAUGUUCGAUCGAAAAAUCGAUGCGAUCAUUACGAAGCAGUUGCGAGAUUCGAUUAAAAGACUUAUCCGUUUCGUCGUUCGCGUUGUUCGCUUUCAGUUCGGUAAUCGGUGUAGUAAAUUAGCAACGAGUAAUCGAAUAACGCUAGUUGGUGUGUAAUCUGCGUAAGGAAAUUUUCAUCCCAUUUUUGUAAAAUCGAAUUGAGCGCCUGCUCGAAGUUCCGAGAAAAAUUCAUUUCGUUCGUAUACCUCGGAGCAACGUUAAACCGCUAAACUGGAGCACGUCGAGGAGUGACGAAGGAGCCAAGAAGUUACGAACGCGUGGGAAGGAUUAAAACAAUAGAAGAGAUGAAGCAAAGGGAAUACGUAAAAACGCCGUCACAAAGCAGAAGAUAAUAUUAGUCGACUUUAAACGCUACUUCAAACUGCUGUUUCAAACAAAAAUUGUAAAUGCUCCUCUGUAGCCGAGACUUUAAAGAAACUGCAAACAACAAAGAAAAGGUAGAACAAAAGGAGUGACAGAACCAAGGGUAGCCAAGACUAUAUCGCGACGAAGUUGAACUUCAUCUUUCAAGUGUGAGACGACUAUGUACUUUAAAUUGAAACGUGUUUUUCUUUAUGAAAAAAUGUA